rnacentral:rRNA from 1 species
UGCCCUAGUAACGGCGAGUGAAGCGGCAACAGCUCAAAUUUGAAAUCUGGCCUCUUUUGGGGUCCGAGUUGUAAUUUGCAGAGGGCGCUUUGGAGUCGGCAGCGGUCCAAGUUCCUUGGAACAGGACGUCACAGAGGGUGAGAAUCCCGUACGUGGUCGCUAGCCUUCGCCGUGUAAAGCCCCUUCGACGAGUCGAGUUGUUUGGGAAUGCAGCUCUAAAUGGGAGGUAAAUUUCUUCUAAAGCUAAAUACUGGCCAGAGACCGAUAGCGCACAAGUAGAGUGAUCGAAAGAUGAAAAGCACUUUGGAAAGAGAGUCAAAAAGCACGUGAAAUUGUUGAAAGGGAAGCGCUUGCAGCCAGACUUGCCUGUAGUUGCUCAUCCGGGCUUUUGCCCGGUGCACUCUUCUAUAGGCAGGCCAGCAUCAGUUUGGGCGGUUGGAUAAAGGUCUCUGUCAUGUACCUCUCUUCGGGGAGGACUUAUAGGGGAGGCGACAUGCAACCAGCUCAGACUGAGGUCCGCGCAUUUGCUAGGAUGCUGGCGUAAUGGCUGUAAGCGGCCCGUCUUGAAACACGGACCAAGGAGUCUAACAUCUAUGCGAGUGUUUGGGUGUCAAGCCCGAGCGCGCAAUGAAAGUGAACGGAGGUGGGAACCCCUCGGGGCGCACCAUCGACCGAUCCUGAUGUCUUCGGAUGGAUUUGAGUAAGAGCAUAGCUGUUGGGACCCGAAAGAUGGUGAACUAUGCUUGAAUAGGGUGAAGCCAGAGGAAACUCUGGUGGAGGCUCGCAGCGGUUCUGACGUGCAAAUCGAUCGUCAAAUUUGGGCAUAGGGGCGAAAGACUAAUCGA